UCAAGAACUACGGACGCUUCACUCGGCCCUUGCUAAGUGGCGUGUGCUACAAUUAAGUAACGGGCAGAGUCAUUUCACAAUAACAAAAAAAAAAUAAUAGAAAAAUAGAAUACAACAGCAAAUCCAAAAACAAAAACCAAUAAAACCACAUUAAACAAGAAAGUAAUAAAUAGACAUCCGAGCACAUAUACCCACACAAAAAUAAAACAAUAGCAUACUAGUUGGUACAACUGGGGUAUUUUAUACAUAACUCGCUAAAUCCUUCGUUUAAUACAACGACGACCAGAAGACAACCACCAAAACCAAAAUCCAGUAAAUCGGAAACACGAAAUUACCAUCAGCAAAUUGCACCGGAGGUUGCAGACAUUUGAUUGAAGUGGAAGUCCAAAAAAAUCCCGCUGAUUAAUGGAAACGUUGUAAGAAAGAGUGCUCGGAUUGCCAAAACAAAGAGAAUCGACAGAUGCACCACCAAGAAAAUAAUAACAACCAAAAAAACCGUGGCCAAAUAAAAGUCGACAAGGAAUAAAGACACAUAAAUAGACACAAAUGUACAUAAUUUAAUAUUUGGAUAUGCCUUGUAAAUACAACAUAAAUAUUUAGAAUCUAGGCAACUACGCUUAUUACGACAACUGAAACAAGGAAAAGGAAACACACCUUUUCCAAUUACAAACAAACACGAUUCUCAUUCUAGUCGCAAAACUUUCACAAUUACAGAUUAUCUUCACACAGUGAAACACUAAACAGUAAUAACCUCCCCCACCAAAAAUCUUAAACCAAGCUAACAACAACAACCAUUUAUAUAUAUACAUAAAAGGCAGAAAGCUAGAACACUGAAAUAAUUAAUCAAAUAUAUUUAACAAAUCCAAACCAAACGAAUGCAAGAAGAGCGCAAAAGCCAACUAUUCCAAAUUACCGUCAAUGUGUAGAUGAUCUACAAAGACCAUCUUUAAACGCUCCUCAUCGCUAGGAUAUCGCCACCAAUUGCAGCUUCAACUGCACUCCAACUCCCUUACAACAGGCAGCGAUCCGGAUACGGAUCAGCUAACAUAACCGGAUUCCGAGCCGGAGUCCGUGAAACGAACGUGGAAAGGCCAAAGAACGAAUACCGAAGGAUUCGGCCGCAGGAUCAAGAUGCAUAUUGAAAUCCAGGUCGCUUUGAACUUUGUCAUAUCCUAUCUCUACAACAAAUUGCCGCGCAGACGUGUAAAUAUAUUUGGCGAGGAGCUGGAGAAGGCCCUACGCGACAAGUUCCAGGGUCACUGGUACCCAGAAAAACCCUUUAAGGGAUCUGCCUAUCGCUGCUUGAAGACCGGGGAUCCCAUUGAUUCGGUUCUGGAAAGAGCGGCUAGGGAAAGUGGAGUACCGAUCGGCGAUAUCCUAGAAAACCUACCAAACGAACUUUCCGUGUGGAUAGAUCCCGGGGAGGUCUCAUUCCGCAUCGGUGAAAAGGGAGCAGUAAAGAUUCUUUACACGGAGAACAAUGAGAACCACGAAGACAGCCACUCGGCAGAUCGCGAGGUCACCAAAAUGUUCAACCCGGAGGCGCAGUGCUUCCGACCCAUCGAUGCCGUUAACACGACCAUGAACAAUCUGAGCUUGAGUCCCAAGGCGCUUCCAUUGGCACUGCCCCAAGCAGGAUCCUCGCCGCACUCGGCUGCGUCCAGUUCACCCACCUACAAGGGCAGUCCAAAUCCCACGAUCUCUGGCAGCUGCAGUUCCGUUUCCGCAGCGGGUUCUGGAACGGGCUCUGGUUCUGGAUCCGGAUCCAAUCUGGCACCCGGUCCUGGUACCGCUCCAGUUCCCGUACCCGGAAACGGUGCCACCGCCAAUGCAGCUGCAGCGGCCUUUAUGCAACGCGGCGCCCAGGCGCCAUUGACAUUCACCACAGCCACCUUUGCGCAGACUAAAUUCGGCAGCACCAAGCUGAAGACCAGCUCCAAGCGCACAAACAGCAGCGCCUAUCGCAUGUCGCCCACUGAGUUCUCCAACUACAUCAAACAGCGUGCGAUGCAGCAGCAGAUGCAUCAUGGUCAUGGAGUUGUCCCGUCCGCAGGAUCAUCGGUAUCGGCAGCAUUUGGCGGCCUAGAUGCCGUCUCACCUGCCCGUUCCCUAUCGCCGAAUCCCCUAUCGCUGGGCGGAAAUCCAAAUCAGGCCGGAUCGGGAUCGUCGGCCGAUCCGUUUUACUAUCAAAACAUGGCGAUCAAUCUGUAUCCACAAUUUGGCAAUCCACGCAGCCUCUUCGAGUCGCACUUCAAUGCGGAUGCCAGUGGCUUGGGUCUCUUUGUGGGCGGAACUGCUGGAACAGCUGGUGCUGCAGUCGCCGCUGGAGGAAAUGGUGGCGCCAACAAGUAUAGUACUUAUCUGGAGCCGUGCUACUUUGGCAAUGGCCAUGCCAACUCACAACAGCAUCCGCAGCAACAGAAUCGCGGCGGAAUGGAUCGUCCGAAUAGUAGCGAAAGCUGCUUUGGCCUAAAUGUGGAUUGCGGUAGUGCCGUUCUCGAGGAUUCGUCAUCAUCGUCGUCAGCAGCGGCUGCUCCUGCUGUGGCCGUUGCCGUUGCCAUUGCUGGGGACUCAUCGCCGGAGGACAGUCCCCUAAGUACACCCACCGUGGCAGCCACAACCGCAGGAACAACAACCACUCCUCCUUCCAGCACCACCAACAACAGUAGUAGCCAUCCAACUCAACAACAGGAACAACCGUCCUCCUCCUCGGGAAACGGAAACGGAAAUGCGAACGCAAACGGAAACGGAAACAACGGUAAUAAUUCCAACAGCAAUACCAAACUGAUCGAUGGCAUAAGCUCCUUCUAUGGCACCGGAUCAUCGUAUCAGCAACUAUUGGUUGCCAACUAGAGUUUCCUCGAAGUCCAUCACCGCAAAGAGAAUCCACCAUAGUUAUAUAUAUAUAUAUAUAUCGAUAUAUAUAUAUAUACAUGUACCAACAACUUAAUGGAAUAUUAUAUCCGGGGCAUGGAUAUGUAUGUAGUGCAUUUCGGGCUUUCUGGUCACAACUCUAUAAGCAAUAUGAAUUGUUAUGCAGUUUUGAGAUUUCCUGUAAAGAACCCCAAAUUCCCAGAUAGGAACCGAAGCAAAUUAGACGGAGCGACUAGGUGGAGUGGUAUAUAUGGAUAUCAUCGUUAUCAUUAUAAUCAUCUGAGGAGGAAAGAUACGGUGGUCAUUAAGAACCAAGGACAUAAUUCGUUUGCCAUUUUGGAUAGUUAUGUAAUAGGUGUCCUUGCAGACAAGAACAGUCACAUUGGAUGCAUAUCUCUAUAGGAACGAUUCGAUACGAUGUUGACACACCCACGAUCAGACACACACAAGCAGGUGUACAUGGAUAUAUGUAUGAAGCUGUAUGCAGAUGUAUAUACAGGUGCACAUAUAUAUAUACAUAUAUAGACAGGGCCAAAAAGGUACCAUGUGUGUGGGAGGCCCAUAAAUGUAGAUAUAGUAAAUCGCAAAGUGAAGUUUCUUUCUGGUAUCAAGAGCAUGCAUAGAAAAAUUAAUUCAAAGUAUAGGAGUGUACGACUGUUGCCAUAGGCACGUACGAAUGAUACACUCAAAUCAAAUCACACAAGCAAAUGAUGAAGAUCUACCGAAACAAACCAAUAAGCAACAAGAAAUAAUACCACAAAUAUAAAUAUAUUUAAUGAGAACAACUAGAAUGUCUCAACUAAUUGUUUUUACUUGUUAUGCAUAUGAACGUAUAUAUAAAAAUAUAUUUAAUUAUCCAACUUAGGAUCAACUUUAAUAUUAAGUUUUUAAUUAGUUGUAAACUAAAGAUAAGAUCAUUUUUGUAGAUCAAGUUGCUAAAUUGAAACACAAACAACAUGCAUAUGUUUACUGAUAAAAGUCAACAUUGUUGAUUAUAAAUAGAUAUGCAACUUGCAUACCCUGAGCAUCCUGACCUGUGAAGAAAGUUUUUCUGUAGUAAAAAGUCCUUUUCUCCAUUCUUUGUAUUUUUAUAAAAUGUUUUUUUAGUUUUGUAUAUAUCUGAAGCUAACUUGCAGAAAAGCUAACGAAGUGUAUUCAGUUUCAAAACUAUAAGAAAUAUAAAAAAAAUCUAUACAUUUUCAUACCACAAAUGAAGUGUUUCGAAAGAAUUUGUACAAAAAAAAUAACAUUUAAGUUGGCUUUAGCACAGGUAUUAUUCUGGUGAGUAACCCCUUGUCGAAAUGUAUAUUUAUUUCAAUUUGUUCGACAUCUUUUUGUUCUAAAAGAUAUCUGGGUUCCCACUGUCAGACUGGAAAAUAUUAGAUUAAAGGAAUACAAAUACUACGACUAAUUGCUCAAACCAUAGAUAUAACCAAAACUCCUCUUAAACUUUUUUUUAGUUAUAUUAACUACACACCUAUAAUCAAAAUAGAAUAUUUCAAAAAUUUAAAGAUUAGGAAAAAGGACUUUUUCUGAACACGUGAAAACACUUUCUCAGAAACCGUAGAAAGAAAAACAUGAUCUAUUUUUCCGAGGCAUAAAUCUCUGAUUGUUUUGUUAUAAACUAAAUGUUGUUUUUCCCCAAAACUUCUUAAUCAUUCGACAUUCUCGAAAUGAAAUCCUAUAUCAGAUUUAAUGUAAUAGGAUGUCGUAUGAUUUUAUUGAUAGUGCCAAGGUCGUCGGGUCACUGCUAAACUUUUUUACCCCUAAAAUACACGUUAUUCAAGCUAUGGAUGCUUUACAUAUAAAAAACACCUGAACAAAUAAUAAAAAAAAACAUUUAUAUUUUUGUUGUAUGUUAAAUUGUAUGUAUUACCAUUUGACUUCGUAUUUUUUUGUAUAUAUAUAUCUAUUUUUAUAUGAACAUUUGUAAUUUUUAUAAAUCGAGUACAGUAAAAAAUUUUAUACUUUUUAUAUGGGCCUAUGUGAAAAUACCUUGCUCUAUAUGAAUACUUACUUUAAUUAAAAGGGAAAAUAAAAUGCAUAAAACCAAAAGACGAUUUGAGUUGAUCUUUUUUAAGUCCCAAAUGAAACGCAAAAUGUUAAUGUAAAUAUGUCAUUGAAUGUAUUAUUUCACUUCUCAAUAUAUGUUGUUUAAUGGAUGUAUAGUAAACCUAAUGGUAUGAAAGUACUUUUAAGACAAGAUAGUAGAAAAAAGAAUGGAUAAACAACAACAAAUUGAGUAAGCCACUGAAUUCAUUCUCUAUUUAUCUUGUUAAGAAACAUUUGCAAUUUGUGUAAACGUUACGGUUUUUUUUAUUGUCUAGUCGAAGACGCAAACACAAUGUGGAAAAUUUAACGAAAGCGGAGAAGAUUUUCAGUUUUUUGGAGAAUGUAUUCGAAUAUGUACCUACACAUCCCACAGAUGUGUGUAUCUAAACCUACCACUGAAAACAGAAAUUUAAUGAAACAUUUAAGUACCUUAACGAAGCUUCUAAUUAUAGCUACUGUGACCACGAACAAGAGUCAAAUCAAAGCCAAGCCAAACCAAAAUACCCCAUUAAAUGCUAUAUUAAUCGCACCUCAAAGUAAUAGGUGCGAAUUAUAGAUUGCAUUGGGUCUAUAGCUUUUGUAUUCUGAUCAUAGUAGCGCAUAAGUACCUACACAGAAACAUACAACAUACAACAUACAACAUACAUACACCAUCUAACACAUGCACACAUUAAGGAUUAGGCACGUUUUUUUCUUAGACGUAUUAGAGUGUAUUUGAAUUAAACAACAAGUAACAUUCAACGGAAAACGAAAAAUGAAAAUAAAAAACCAACAAUUUUGUACUUUUAUAUAUAUGAUGAGUAUAUAUGUAUAUAUAUAUUCGUAUACAUGUAUACAUAUGAAUGCCUCUAAAUGGUUCAACUCAACGGAUUCUCAAUGUAUUUUUUGUAUGUCUCAGAAUGGUAUGUCUCCGAAUGAAACCAAGUAACGAACAAAUAUUCAUAAUGUUAGAAAUUGUCUCACAUGCCAUUCUCUAUAAGUAAGCAUAUGGCACAAGUAAAAGCCCCAAAAUGUAUGCAAUCUGCCAAUCUAUCCUUACCUGAAUCUGAAUCUGAAUCAUAGAGCGAAAUGGAUAUGGAUAUAGAGAGAUGGGAUGCAAAGUAUUGGAUGAGAAUUCGGUAUGGCUUGCUUAUAAAAACUAUUCUAUUGUGAUUGUGAUAACAAUGUAAGGCACAGAUGAAGAUCGAGAAACAGUGAUGUGAAAAAAUCGCUGUAGAAAUGGCAAAACAUUCAUAUGUAUAUGUAUAUAGAUGGGAAAAUUUAGAUAAAGUAUCCGCCUAAUCAUCGAUGUCCACCAACUUAAAAUUUUAACUCGAUCGAGAUGAAAUUGUAUCCGACCGAUCUAAUAAGCAAAUAAUGAACCAUUAUGGUAGACACACAAAUAUACAAAAGCAAAAAAAAAAACCAAAACAUAUUUUACAAUAUGAAAUAAAUAAAUCCACACCAAGCAACAUUUUAAUACACACAAUUCAAAAAGAAAAACAAAAAUUGAAGAGAUCAAGCCAGAUGUAGAAACAACUCACUAACUAAAGCAAAGUGCGACAUUGGUACAUGUAUUUAGCUACAAGGAGGACAACCAAAAAAUUAGAUAUAAUACAGCUUUUUAUACCUCAGAUAUGUUUCUAUAUGUAUGUAAAUGUACGAAGAGAUAUCUCUCAAGCAAUGCAAAGUAACAAAAACAAAAAGGUAUAAGAAAAUCAACUAUAUUUAAGCCCACUUAUCUUCGAUAAGGUUCAUAAGUACAGAUAUUUUGAUAGGUAGUUAGAUGAAAACUCAUUUACGAAUGUAACUUUUAUAUAUUUUUUUAGGUAACUUGUUUUAUUGAUACGCGAUUUCCAACAUAAAUCUAAAUGUGCAUUACCAACCAGACUCUUAAAUAGUAUUUCCGAAAAUUGGUUAGUGGCAGCUCUGGAUGUUAGCGGAAAUACAAAUAUAUUACGAAGUAUAUGAUAUAUGAUAUAAGUAUAUCAUAAUCAUACAACUGAAAAUUUAUCAACAUAUAAGCAACUGUACUUUCUAUCAUAAGUGUUAUAUUCUUUCCACGUUAUCGGGCUUAAAAAAGUUUAUAUGAUAAAAGAUAUUUUCUCAUGCGUGUCUAGAUUUUACAUAUGGUAUAUUCCAAACUAAACACCAAAAAUGGAUAUGAACUUUUAUGUGAUCUAAGUUCUACAGUUAUCUUUCUGUUAAACAAGGCUUAUGUUUACAUGUAUGUAUAUAAUAAAAAACAAAAACAACGUGAAAAUUAUAAUUAAAGGCUGAGAAGGCAUACAUACAUACACUGCAUAUGUACGUAUUAUGUUUUAAACUUCAAUUCAAAUAGAUUUUGGUACCGAUCGAUAUAUGUAUGAAAUGGCUUUCGUUGAACAGAAAAAUUCGAAAGAGAAAGUAAUUAAAUUAAUGCAUAUCAGUGAUUACAAUAACGAUGUACAUACAUGCAAAACAAUAACAAAAUAAUGUAUAUGUGUGACCUCAUUAGCACACAAUAAUCGUGUAUGUAUAUCUAUUCUUAGUACCGAAAUAUUCAAUCAAUUUAAAACCCCUUACGUGUGUGGAAAUAAACAUAGAGGUUAAUAAUAUAAAAUGUAUGUACUAUGUAUAGUAACAAAUAUAACUUCCAUAUGAGUAUUUUUCGUAUUACCUUUAGUAGAAUAAAGAUUAUCGUAUAAUUAAAACGCAUUGUUUAUAAAAAAAAAACAAACAAACCCAAAAUCAGUGAUCUGCUUCGAUCACCGACUUAAACAAUUGGAUAUUGUUAACAAAAAGCAAACAAAAAAAAAGAGUUUGAUGUUUUCUCCGCACUGUUGCAUACUUAUUCAGUAUUCUGAGAACAGAUGUCCUUUUACAAGAUUAGUACUCACGGCAAAAUAAAAGCUCAAAAACUGUACCUAUGGGUACGUACCAAGGUAAAUUAGUUGAGUACUUUUUACCUUACCUAUGUAAAUAAAUAAAUGGAUACAUUUUA